GUCCCUAUAUGCAUGCUGGCUGUGUUUAACUUAUUCUUGAGGGUCUCCAUAUCUAUAACUAUUUAGUAUACCCAUAGUGGUUCCAGCACCUCCUAACAGUGUGUCAUACCAUUCCCUUUUCUGCCUUUUGUUUGUUGUGUUACAUAAUGUUACAACAGGAGUAGUGAUUUUUAAUGACACAUGUACAGCUUGUAAGAAGGCAGUUGUAUUAACACAUGUGGACGGAAUAGGUGUGUGUGUGUCGUGGUUGACUUUUGGUUCUAUGAUAGUGGAUGAAGGACAGUAAUAAGGUGUAAAAAUAUAAGGUAGUGUAUAGUUCUCAAUUGUAGUGUCGUUCAUAAUGACUAACAUUUGUCCCCUUCUCCAAUUAAUGAUACCAGUUAUAUAAUCAUUAUUAAAAGUAAUAAGGCCUGUCUGUUUACAUUGAUAUGCAACCUUAACUGUGCACAUUUCUGCGUUAUAAGAUCUAACAAUUUUCUGUGAACCUUUAAACAAACAUAAUGCAUCGGUUUCAUUAGCUGUAGACACAUUUCAUAUGGGUAACUGGUACUUAUAAGGGUUACUAUUUGUCCAACUCAUCCAAAUGCGUUCAGUAAAUGAAUGAUUGCAUAUUGCAUGCUGAUAGAAAGGUGGUGGAGAAAGGUUCUUGAGGGGGCGUGUGUGACGAAUGCUAGAUGAGGGGCUAAGGCCUAAUUGGGCUGGGGGUAUUGAAGAAUUG